UUGGAGGGCAAGUCUGGUGCCAGCAGCCGCGGUAAUUCCAGCUCCAAUAGCGUAUAUUAAAGUUGUUGCAGUUAAAAAGCUCGUAGUUGAAUUUCGGGAUUCUACCGUUGGUCGGGCUAACAAGUCUGUACUGGUGUGUAGAAUUUCUACCUUCUGGGGAACUAUCAUGUUAUUAAUUUAGCGUGGUGGGAAACCAGGACCUUUACCUUGAAAAAAUUAGAGUGUUUAAAGCAAGCAUUAGCUUGAAUACAUUAGCAUGGAAUAAUGAAAUAGGACGUUUGAUCCUAUUUCGUUGGUUUCUAGGAUCGACGUAAUGAUUAAUAGGGAUAGUUGGGGGCAUUAGUAUUCAAUUGUCAGAGGUGAAAUUCUUGGAUUUAUUGAAGACUAACUACUGCGAAAGCAUUUGCCAAGGAUGUUUUCAUUAAUCAAGAACGAAAGUUAGGGGAUCGAAGACGAUCAGAUACCGUCGUAGUCUUAACCAUAAACUAUGCCGACUAGGGAUCGGAUGAUGUUAAUUUUUUAAUGACUCAUUCGGCGCCUUACGGGAAAC
rnacentral:rRNA from 1 species